CCGCAGCCUGGGGUCCGCCCAACCCCAGGCCCACUGCGUCCUCAGGGGUGGUGCCUCCACAGCUGUUUCUCCUUAGUCAUUUCACGAACUUGUAUGGGCCCCCCACUAUAUCUCAGGCCUGGGGGUUUAGGAGAUACAGCGGCCACCAAGACGGAGGCGGGUCCUAAUCAAAGGAGAAGACAGACAAGACUCAAGGAAACAGCUAAUAGACAAAAUAAUGACAAGUUAUGGCCGUAAGUGUUGGGAGGGACAUGAUUAGAGGACUUAGAUGGAGAAGAAGGGAAGGGAGCCCCUGCUCCAAACGCAGUGGCCGAGGAAGACCUGGACCCCGACCUGCGGCCAGAGCUCCUCCUGCCUGCCCUGCAUUGGGGAGACAACCCUGCGAUGAGGCCUGUGAAGAAGCCCCCGGGGCCACCGGGGCAAGACGGUCUGGUCCGGCCUGACGGGCAAGACAGCAAAGGGCUGCUGGGCCCAGAAGCUCAGCAACACGGGCAGCCAGGUGGAGAGAAGGGCAGAGCUACCUUCAGCAGACAAAACGACCCAUGCAAAGGCUCUGGGGCCUGGAGGAGCUCGACCCUAGAUGAGACUGGCGCUGGUAUUGUCCCCACUUCACCAGGAAGGAAGCCAAGGCUGCAGAGGAUGGGCAGCACCUAACGCCUCAGGGCUAAUUGGUCUCCAUCCGUCCACUCGUUCCAAGUCCAUUCACUUCCUGCUAGCCAGGCCACUGUCCCCUUCCGGUGGGACCAGUUACCUGAUGCUGGGUUUAACCUUCUCCACCAGAAUAACCACUGGCCUUAGAAACUCACUUGGGUUUCACGUCUGCAUGUGUGUGAGCUAGCUCUGGGGUUGAAAUUGUAUCAGCAUGAUCAUCACAGUUAUAUCUGAUACUUGAUUUGUCUCCAAAAGCUCAAAUUGAUAGGUUAAAUAAAUGACAUAUGCUUCAUCAACAUAACUGAGUGCUACAUUAUCAAAUUCACAAAGACUAGGUGGCCACCAAGUAUCCAGGCUCCUGUGGUAAAGAUACUGAUCCUGGUCUGCCCU
rnacentral:lncRNA from 10 species